GGGGAUUUAGCUCAGUGGCAGAGCGCUUGCCUAGCAAGUGGAAGGCCCUGGGUUCGGUCCCCAGCUCCG
rnacentral:tRNA from 1 species